rnacentral:lncRNA from 1 species
AAAUUUCACAGAUAGAACUUGGCAAUUCAUGACUGAUUUGUAUCUUCUCAUUUCCUCAGUAGAAACGAGAUGCUGUUGUAUGUAUAAAUGUGUUAUACGAGAACCUUUUUCCAUGAUAUUAACUAAUAUUAUCCAGUGUUAGAGCCCAGUCUAGGGUUGAACUGCAACACAGUGUUAUUGAGACUGACUACGACCAGAAAGAAGAACACCAGUUCUGCAACUCACAGGCCAUUUCUUCAGGGGUGAGAUGUGUCAACACAACCAACAAAAGUGAAUCCUACCCUUUGUGACACUAUCUACCCUAUCAAAAUAAAACAAACAAAAGUACGCCAGUCUAACUUGACUCCGAACUAAAGAAAAACAGGAGAAAAACUGGUACAGGAGAAAAUGGCACUCAUCCCCUUCCGGCAAUUGUUUCUUUAUACUUAUUUACAAUUAACUAUUUACAUAUAUUUGACUCAAAAUACACAGUUGAGGCUUUUACCACUAUUUAUACAGCUGUCACACUUCCUAUGCACGUACGUACAGGUUCUCGUGCCCAAAUAUACAGUUCAAGUACAGCACGUUGACAGCAACAGCAAAUCCACACAUCUUUCUGGUAGAACCAGACUCUCUCUGGUCCGGUGGCCCUGUGACUUUUUAGCCCUCUUCCAUUCUUUACCCCUUGAUGGAGAAGACAAAUGGUCCGUUGGUGAUGAUCUGCUGCUUCUUCUGUUUGCUUUAGGACAAGAGGACAGACCUUUGAAACUGGUGCCAGACCCAGAAAUGCCAUCAGUUGCUGCGUCUCUGGUAGAAGGAUGCGCGUCACCUUGUUAAGGAGAGACGUGGCUGUUGCUGGAACACGCUGGUGACCGGUGGGCUGGAGCAUGAGAGCCAGCGCUGAGGGUUGUGGGAAAGGGGCAGUCAUGGCAAUGGAGAGUAAGAUUACCUUGACCCUGCUUGCCUCAUGUCCAGGAAUAAUUGUAGAAGCUAGAGGUCAGGAGGAGGAAGAGGGGUGUGAUGAAUACCAUAUAUUUAAGCUUUUUUCUUUUAAUUUAUUCAGUUUGAUUCUGCACACUGUGCCUCUAUGGGAAAGCUUUAUGGUAUUAUUAAAGUCAGGGAGAGAUGACAGAAAAUGUAUCAAACCUGUCCAGCAUUUUAAUACUAACAGAAGAUGGGUCAUAAACAGUGAGACGGCGAAUACAGGAGAACUCGCCAAUAAAACUGAACAUUGUCAAAUUUAUGGAAGACA